rnacentral:rRNA from 1 species
GAUGAACGCUGGGGGCGUGCUUAACACAUGCAAGUCGAACGGAAAGGCCCAAGCUUGCUUGGGUACUCGAGUGGCGAACGGGUGAGUAACACGUGGGUGAUCUGCCCUGCACUUCGGGAUAAGCCUGGGAAACUGGGUCUAAUACCGGAUAGGACCACUUCUUGGAUGUUGUGGUGGAAAGGUUUUUCGGUGUGGGAUGAGCUCGCGGCCUAUCAGCUUGUUGGUGGGGUAAUGGCCUACCAAGGCGUCGACGGGUAGCCGGCCUGAGAGGGUGUACGGCCACAUUGGGACUGAGAUACGGCCCAGACCCCUACGGGAGGCAGCAGUGGGGAAUAUUGCACAAUGGGCGCCAGCCUGAUGCAGCGAAGCCGCGUGGGGGAUGAAGGCCUUCGGGUUGUACCCUCCUUUCGCUAGGGACGAAGCGUUUUGUGACGGUACCUGGAGAAGAAGCACCGGCUAACUACGUG